rnacentral:tRNA from 1 species
GCAGAUAUGGCCGAGUGGUUAAGGCGACUGACUCGAAAUCAGUUUCCAUCUUGGAGCGUAGGUUAGAAUCCUACUAUCUGCG